GGUGGCUCAGUGGUAGAGUGCUUGCCUUGCAUGCAGGAGGCCCUGAGUUUGAUUCCUCAGAACCA
rnacentral:tRNA from 1 species